rnacentral:rRNA from 2 species
GGGAGGCAGCAGUAGGGAAUCUUCCGCAAUGGACGAAAGUCUGACGGAGCAACGCCGCGUGAGUGAUGAAGGUUUUCGGAUCGUAAAGCUCUGUUGUUAGGGAAGAACAAGUACCGUUCGAAUAGGGCGGUACCUUGACGGUACCUAACCAGAAAGCCACGGCUAACUACGUGCCAGCAGCCGCGGUAAUACGUAGGUGGCAAGCGUUGUCCGGAAUUAUUGGGCGUAAAGGGCUCGCAGGCGGUUUCUUAAGUCUGAUGUGAAAGCCCCCGGCUCAACCGGGGAGGGUCAUUGGAAACUGGGGAACUUGAGUGCAGAAGAGGAGAGUGGAAUUCCACGUGUAGCGGUGAAAUGCGUAGAGAUGUGGAGGAACACCAGUGGCGAAGGCGACUCUCUGGUCUGUAACUGACGCUGAGGAGCGAAAGCGUGGGGAGCGAACAGGAUUAGAUACCCUGGUAGUCCACGCCGUAAACGAUGAGUGCUAAGUGUUAGGGGGUUUCCGCCCCUUAGUGCUGCAGCUAACGCAUUAAGCACUCCGCCUGGGGAGUACGGUCGCAAGACUGAAACUCAAAGGAAUUGACGGGGGCCCGCACAAGCGGUGGAGCAUGUGGUUUAAUUCGAAGCAACGCGAAGAACCUUACCAGGUCUUGACAUCCUCUGACAAUCCUAGAGAUAGGACGUCCCCUUCGGGGGCAGAGUGACAGGUGGUGCAUGGUUGUCGUCAGCUCGUGUCGUGAGAUGUUGGGUUAAGUCCCGCAACGAGCGCAACCCUUGAUCUUAGUUGCCAGCAUUCAGUUGGGCACUCUAAGGUGACUGCCGGUGACAAACCGGAGGAAGGUGGGGAUGACGUCAAAUCAUCAUGCCCCUUAUGACCUGGGCUACACACGUGCUACAAUGGACAGAACAAAGGGCAGCGAAACCGCGAGGUUAAGCCAAUCCCACAAAUCUGUUCUCAGUUCGGAUCGCAGUCUGCAACUCGACUGCGUGAAGCUGGAAUCGCUAGUAAUCGCGGAUCAGCAUGCCCGGUGGAAU